ACACACACACACACACACACACACACACACACACACACACACACACACGUACAUACAUACACACACAGAACUCUGAAAGGUACCUCAGAAGUUGUAUGCAGCCAGCUUGGGAUGUACAGAGUGCCCAACCUGCCCUGAGGAGAGACCAUUGCUGUUCAUCACUGCUCUGCCCUAGAAACUCUUUCCUAGCCAAAGCUGGGACUGUGGAUUAGAACCCACGGAUUCCCCAGCAAUGGGAAGUAUUCCUGCAGAGGUGCCUGACCCCUUCUCAGAAUAUGCUGGGGAGGCCACAGAUCCCGGGGAGGAGGCUGACCUCAGGCUCAGCACUUCCUCCUUAGAGAUGUUUCAGAUCGACUGCCUGGCUUGGGUCAAAUUUUGCAGUGUUUCAAAUCCUAAAACCUCUAGCUAUGCAUGUAAUUUCCCCCCUUUCGGUCUCCCCCUUACCUUCUCUGAAAGUUUCUCUCUCAUCUUGGCUCUGUUUUACAUGUAGGAAACUACAUUUGAACCUCCUAUUUGUUUUCACCCUUUGGGAAAGGUGAAAGAGAGAAUAGAAAUUAUUUCCUUCAUUUAUCUGGAAAAACUGAGGCCUGACAAGAUUUGGCAUCUUGUUGGAGAUCCUGCCUGGCUUGGGAAUAGAAAGGCGAUAGGUUGUGCAGCACAGCCAAGGAGGCCAAGAGUUGUCACUGCGUUUUUCUCAUGUGAUGUGCACUCUACACAGUGGCCGCAGUGAUAGGUCACCCAUUUGAUACACAGCUCCUCAGAAGGGCGUGCAGUGUCUGGAAGAGCAUACGGGUAUAUCCCAUGACAAGAGAAAAAGCAGACCUCAAGUCAGUCAGUAUGGAACACACAGAAUCAACAGACCACGUAUCAUCUCUUCACUCUUGUCUGCAAGUUGCCUUCUGAUCCACAUUGAACCCAGUGCUGAUAGAGGCCAGGGAUCCCUUCUCUCACAGUUAUCCUCUGUCUGUCCACUUAAACUUCCCAAGUCUGCCUUUAUCUUUACCUGCAUCUGUUAUCUGCCUAUCCAACUUUGUAGGACUCUCUGUUCCUUCAGUCUUGAAAGGAGAGAAUCUACAAGACAAGCACAUCUUCUUUUGCUAAUAUUGACCAAUCCUUAGGGCAUCAUUUCAAGAUCUGUUGAUGUCUAUAAAUGCUUGUCUAUGUCCUUUACAUAAAACCUCCUUUACACACAAGGAAGAGAGGGAGGAAGGGGCAGAGGGACAAAAACCCUAUUAUAUCCCAUUAGAUGAAGCCACUGAGUCUCCAAAAAGGACACUCAGCCUUCUGGUUCCCACAUCAGAGAACAAGAUGUGGAACAGCCCCACCUCCAGGGCCAAAGGACCCCUGAAUUGUCAAACCUAUCCAAAAGCACCCUGAGUCCUCUGCCACAUAGCAGGGCUGGUUCUAGUAAUGACCCGCCCAAUCAUCAGUGACGUCCAAUUGUUUUGGUCAGGUUCAUUCCUGCUCCAUGAAACAGUUAAGAGCUAUCCUGCCCCACUGAUUGCCAGACUCAUAAAGGUGGACCCACGUGUACUUCCUUGUGGCUCCAAGACACACUGGCUCACUCAUUUGCCCACACCCAGAGGGAGAAAAGGCAGCAGCAGGCAGCACUUCCACCUCACAUGCAAAUCAGCCCUGAGAGUGCAGCUGGACUCCUCCUGCUGCUCCCGGGCAAUGCUCCUGGGCAAGCCCUGCAGAAAAUGCCAUCCUGGGCGCUGUGUGCUCAUCCUUGUUCUUGGUCUCCUGUGCGACGCUGUGGGCCUGGUCCUUUUGCUGCUGGGGAUUUUUGCCACACUGAAUUACUGGGACUUCUUGGUCUACACCGGGGCCCUGUUUCUGGCAUUCAGCCUGCUGUUCUGGGUGUCCUGGUAUACCUUCAACAUCGAAGUGCCUCUUGAGAAACUGGACUUGUAGCGUGGCCGUGGGCAGUGGAGAGAUGCAUGAGCCACAUGCAACCAUGAACCUGGAGCUGACAGGCGCCCACCCAGGAUAUUCCACGGGGACCAGACAGACUCUGCCGGUGGAGGAGGCGGGGAAACUGCCAAGUCUGCCCAAAGGACCUGUCCGAUGGAAAAGAAUCAAAGCACCCAUGAGAAUGAUGUGAAUGACUGUGAAUGCCACUCUCAAUCUAGAGCCCAGAAGCACUCUGCCAGGAUACUGGCAUGGCUGCCACUGCCCCAGCUGUUCGUGGAGAGCCUCAGGAACCAUGAAGUCUUCCUAGUGGGGAUUUAAUGGCAGCCACGCUGCUGCAGACUUAGAUGCCAAAAGAAAAGUCCCAUCUUUGCCACUUCUCUGGUCAGUGUCCUUCAAAAAAAAACCUGACAAUUGGGAUUCCCUGCAAGCCCACAUCCCUCAUGUUGUUGCUACUUCUCUGACUGGCCGGACAGAUUCUGUGAGCCCCUGGAGGGCUCCACCCUGCCCACACUGUCCAGUGAGCGCAUGGAACAGUAUGUGAAUGUACAACCAACGGUGUGUAUGAGAGGACUCUCUCCUCCUCCACGGGGAGAGCUGAGCACUCUGCUUGCAGCCCCACCCACUUGUGCAGCCUGGCUCACAUUGAGCUCUAAAUCAGCUGAAACCCUCUGAGCAUUUGUCUGACUGACAAGCUAGGUCUCCGCUGUGCUGUGCGUGUGUCAUUCACUCCAUGACCUUAAAAAGGCAAGACUUAAUUUUUGGCUGAAAUUGCAUGUGGUUAAGAGCAGCCCAACUAUAGCAACCCUGAGGGUCAGCAUUCCUCGGGUGAUCUGAUAGAUGGGCUCUGCUUUACCACCCAGGCUUGACAUGUCUCACUAAUUUAUAUCUCCCCGAGUCUAGUUUUGUAUUUUGUAUUUAUAUUACCACUCCUCAAAAUGUGUACAUGUUCCCUUUAAGCUGCCUCAUAUAUUUUAUGUUGUGAGGCAGUUA